CCAAAGGCUCUUUUCAGAGCCACCCACACCUUCACGUAAAGAGCUG
rfam:Myotis lucifugus cont2.57865, whole genome shotgun sequence.